AAUUUGUUGAAGAAAUAAAAUAUGUUUAGAAAAUGAAUAAUGAAUUGGGUGAAUGGUCACUUUGGUCCCUAAAGUUACAAGCGUCGGGCAAUUUAGUCUCUAUUCUAAGGAAAUGUCGUCCGUAGUCCCUGAAGCUGACAAACGUCGAUCACAUUGGUCCCUGCCUCUGCUCCCGUUAGUGAACGUUAACGGAGACGAUGAUUUGGCACGUUAAGUGUGCAUCUCUCCUAGCCACGUGGAUUGGAACAUUGGGGGGAAACAUUGAAACUUCAAUUUAGUCCCUUUUAUCCUUAUAAGAGAAGAAGAACCCUAGAACAGACCAAAAAUCCCAAAAUUCCAAAAUCCGACCACCACUUUGCUUCUUCCAAUCCUCAAAUUUCUUGUCUCAUUCAACUCGCAACUGACAUACAAUUCAUCUGGGUUAUUGUAUUUGUGUUUGAUCUUUCUUUAAUCGGUAUUACUUUGCAUCUUUGAUGAAAAAGUGGUUUUUUUUCCUUCUGCUAUGAUUUUGGCUUUUUUUUGGGUUUAUGCAGGGAUAAGAAGGUUGCUCUUUUCACCCAUAUGCAAUUUUGUUUUUGGAUUUGGUUGGAAGUUUUGAUCUUGAUUUUGGAGGUGAAGGAUUGGUUUUGGUGAUUGUUCUUUUUUGAAGUCUGGUUCUUCUUCUCCAUGGCUUUUGAGGAGUCUGAGCAUGUGAUCUCGGAGCUGGAAAGGGAUGAGAAUUUGAUUGCUGCAACAAGGCAUAUUGUGAAGGCAUUAGGUUCAAAUAAGCACCUUACUAGUGAUGCCAAGAAAGUUCUGGCGCGCAGAUCUUGGCUCACAGUUGUCCUCCAUGACCAUGCCGAGCGAGAAGGAGGAGAGGAAGCAAGGGCGAAAGAACGAUGAUAUCGACGAGGAUGACAAGGAGGAGGAGGAGGAGGAGGGAGAAAAGGAAGAGGGCAUUAGUGUUGUUGAUCAAAGGCUUGGUGAAAUUGGAGAAAAUAAUGAGAUGGGAGGAAGAUCAUGAUUUGGGAUUUGGGGCUUGAAGAAGCAUCUGAAUAUCUGGAUUUGGGAUUUGAGGUUUUGUUUUCUGGGUUUGAUGAUGAUAUGAUGUUGAAGAUGAUAAGAUGAUGAUUUUAAAUUUUUUUUUUGA